AGCGAACGCUGGCGGCAGGCCUAACACAUGCAAGUCGAACGAAGCCUUCGGGCUUAGUGGCGGACGGGUGAGUAACACGUGGGAACGUGCCUUUAGGUUCGGAAUAACUCAGGGAAACUUGUGCUAAUACCGAAUGUGCCCUUCGGGGGAAAGAUUUAUCGCCUUUAGAGCGGCCCGCGUCUGAUUAGCUAGUUGGUGAGGUAAUGGCUCACCAAGGCUACGAUCAGUAGCUGGUCUGAGAGGAUGAUCAGCCACAUUGGGACUGAGACACGGCCCAAACUCCUACGGGAGGCAGCAGUGGGGAAUCUUGCGCAAUGGGCGAAAGCCUGACGCAGCCAUGCCGCGUGAAUGAUGAAGGUCUUAGGAUUGUAAAAUUCUUUCACCGGGGACGAUAAUGACGGUACCCGGAGAAGAAGCCCCGGCUAACUUCGUGCCAGCAGCCGCCGUAAUAC
rnacentral:rRNA from 1 species